CCAGCUCCAAUAGCGUAUAUUUAAGUUGCUGCAGUUAAAAAGCUCGUAGUUGGAUUUCGGGUGGGACCUGCCGGUCCGCUUCGGUGUGCACUGGCAGGGCCCACCUUGUUGCCGGGGACGGGCUCCUGGGCUUCACUGUCCGGGACUCGGAGUCGGCGAUGAUACUGUGAACAAAUUAGAGUGUUCAAAGCAGGCAUACGCUCUGAAUACAUUAGCAUGGAAUAUCACGAUAGGACUCUGGCCUAUCCUGUUGGUCUGUAGGACUGGAGUAAUGAUUAAGAGGGACAGUCGGGGGCAUUCGUAUUUCAUUGUCAGAGGUGAAAUUCUUGGAUUUAUGAAAGACGAACUACUGCGAAAGCAUUUGCCAAGGAUGUUUUCA
rnacentral:rRNA from 1 species